UCUACAUGGAGCUCAAAUCCUCUCCUCAGCCAUACCUGGUGCCUUUUCUGAAGAGGAGUCUACCUGCUGUUCGUCAGCUAACCCCAAACUCACAGCUCUUUAUCCAGCAGUGUGACCAGCCAAAACCCCCUUCUACUACUACUACUACUACUACUACUUCAGCAGUCUGCACCACCAGCCAAAAACACAGUGUCCCGUCCUCUACUGUCUCUACUGUCUCACAGACUCUUAGAGGCAGUGUUUCAGUAAGGUCCACUCCUCCGGUAUAACAGGAGUUUUUCGGUUUGGUUAGGUGAUCCAGCAAUCCAAAGGAGCGUCUGUCAAGCAGUCUGUGAUUUCCUCGUCCCGUGCUGACUUGGCUGUACAGAAGCCUAGGCAGCUGGUCAUUCAGACUAACACACAGCCUGCAGGUAAAACAAAAUCCCUACACACACAGAAUGUGUAAUGGACUGUGUAGAAAGGGCUAGUGCUAACGUGCU
rnacentral:lncRNA from 1 species